UUGAAAAUAGCUGUGCUGCUUAAUGUUACAAAAAUUUUGUAACAUUAUAUCAGCUGAAUAAAAUAAUUAAUUUUCUUAAAAAAAAAAAAAAAAAAAUCUUACUGACCCCAAACAUUUGAACUGUAGUGUGGGUAUCUCUCUAUUUAAAUAAUAACCAAAAAUAAUUAUUUAUUGAUACAAACAUUUAAUCAAUAAACCUUCAAAAUAAUCAAUAAACAAUUUUGCAGAGCUUUCUGUGGAGUUUUGCAGAUGCAGAUUCAAUGUGGGCCUGCUUAAAGAUCACUUUAUGGCUGUGUAAGUGCAUUAGCUCUAGAUUACUUUUGAUUUUUUGUUAUUUCGUCUAUAGCAUGCCACUUCUGCCCAAUCUUUGGAUGUGUCAGGUAGUUUUAGUGAUAUGCCACUCGUUUCUCACAAGUUUUGCAAUAUUAACAGAAUGGAAAGUAGGAAAAAAGCAAAACAAGGUUUUUUGGGACGCCUCAGCCAAGCUAGUCAACAUGUCAUUUUCAAUGGCCAUUGUUAACAUGAGAGUUUAUGAGGCUUGUAGCGUCAGUGUGCUGGAACGUUGUGGUGUGCGUACAGAGGGCAAUAAAUGCUUCUAGUUUGGCCGGGGCGGCUCUCAAUCCACUGUUCUCAGGUCAGUGUGUGCCAGCACUGCUCCCCGGCUCGCUGGGCCUCCGGAUGGCUUCACCGUCAGCAGCAUUUCAUGGAGACAGUGUCCAAGGAAAACACAGCACAAGGCUUAUAGUCACUAGUAAAUGUCUUUUGGAAAGACGUCUCAUAUUCUAGGCUGUCUGUGCGACUUGAUCCUAUUGUAAACAAUGCCUUUCCCACAUGCAUUACGGGAGCUUGGGUUAGGAUCGGGGGAAAUAAUAGCACGAUGGAGCAACCUCUGCAAGGGGAAACCAUUCAAGAUGAUCCCCAAAGACUUCCGAGGGCCGUCGGCAUGAAAUUAAACAUCUCCAAUGCAUGGUUGGUGACUUUAAUGCUCCAAGCAUAUUCAGAUCAUUGAAGUCUAUUGGAGGGCUACAGGAAAGCAUGGAGGAAAAGGGAUUUUGGGAUUCGAGAGGGCCAAAUUAUCAGCUCAGGGAUGGAUAGAUAGAGUUAAUUAAGGAUAAAUAACCAAUAUACUGUCCUCAUCCAUGUCACAUGCAACCUCUAGUGAGAAACGUUGGGUUUGUCAUGUCAGUUUUAAUAUAUACUAAGAUGAAAGAUUUUUAUGGCACUCUAUUUUCUUAUAAAACUGUAUUGGUUAACUCGUUUCCACUUGUAGCAACGUGUUGAGAAAGCUACUAUCACUGCCAUUCACGUGUUCCACUGUUCUGUUCAAGUAUAUAGGCUGCAACUAUUUCCUUGCUCGCAAUGCAUGCUUCUGGAAACAAAAGCUCUCGUUUUUUUUCUUUCUCCUCUCUGGUGCAUCAGAUAUAAUGUAUGAUUCAUUCCCGUGCCUCUCACUAUAAGACAUAGUGCCAAAAAACAGAAUACCGGUCACCAAAUUGGAAGUGGAGACGCCUCAGGCAACUGCUUCUGAGAGGUUAUGGAUCUUCUCAGGGAGCACAAAGCACAUAUCUAGUCCAGGACUCAUCCAAAAUGGCAGGGAUCUGGUCUCAAAGCAACUUUAGGCCCUCUCUGGUGUUAUUAACAUGUGUCCUUGAGAUUUGACGUUUGCAAUAUUGAGGGGGGAAGUGUGCUCCAAUUUAGCUUUGACUUGGCGGUUCCUCCCAAUCCUGAAUCUGUCUGUCUAGCACAGGGCUUUGUAUUGCAGGGUUGAUCGGUGCUCUUGAUGUUGUCAUUUCUGAGAGAGGCUGGGAGAACUGAUCGUCUGGCCAUGCAUUGUUUUUGAUGAAAACGAGAUCUUUCAGGGUUUGAUUUGUACAGGUUGCACAAGGGUUUAUUGGUUUUUCAACCAUGUUUGUUCUUAAAAGAGGCCGAGAAAUGGCAUGCCCAAAGUAUGAUAUUUAUUGGCAAGUAUGUAAAUAAAAUAUCUAUUAAAAAUCCAUCUGCUUGCGUUCAACAGACGUAUGGACUGACGUGAUGCUUCUUAUUCACUCAACCAUAUGUGGUUAAACAGAAAUAGACAUUCUACCAUAACAAAACAGACCAAAUCGCAUGUAUAUAGAGCGUACUGCAAUGCAACAUAACUAUAUUAAAAAAGAAAAGCUCUGGUAUUGAUGUUUUAAAAAGCAAUGAAAGGUUUCUACUUCUGCUGUUUAGGUUGUAUGUUGUGAAGUGUGUGCAUCGUAACACUGCUUCCCCAGCAUAUGUCCUUGGCUUAACUGAGUUUAUGUGUGGUCCACCCAAAGUGUAACAGAGUAUGGUGUAUAAAAAAAAAAUCUGUUUAGUAAUAUUCUGUGGAAAAAAAAAGAUUGUAAUGUUUUCUAUAAAAAAAAAAUCAUUCAUAUAAAUAUUUGUUUUUACUUUUUUAAUAAAGUUGCACCUUAUGACUGGUUGUGCGUUGAUUAUUCUGCUGCAGUAUAUCAUGAAUGCUUAUGAUUAUUGAAGUAUUAGAUAUUUAAAAGGCUUUUGU
ensembl:lncRNA